rnacentral:lncRNA from 1 species
UUCUUCUUUUAUUUCUGCAAACCCAGCAGGCUGUGAGGUUUGGUGUGGGAAACUGGGAGCUUUCAUGGUUUGACUCCCCUGGAACGUGGUGACAGUGGGGUGCAGUAGGAAAAGUGGCAGCAGCAGAGAACAGGCUGUUUAUUUUCAUCUUGUAGUAUUUUUAUAUUAUUCACAAUCCACAGUUUGCAAAUCAUGUGGUGAGAAACGCCAGGGUUUUGUAGUAGAAUAUCUUUAAGAAUCCCUAUCUCUAAAGAUUCCACACUGCCCUAAAGUAAAAAAAAAUUGAGAAAAAGGUCACUGUUCCUGUUUUGGUGGGAGAAGUCUCUUAAACAUCAAGGGAGGAACUUUUCAAAGCUGCUUCAGAUUAUGAAAAUGUUCACAGGGUUUUAGCUACUGCAAAAUUAAUCCUGUAGGUGCUUUUUGGUUAUUAAAUAUCCUCCAUUUUCUGGGUGGAGAAGGCACCGUGCCCCUCAGGAGCAGUGAACUCGUGUUCAGGAACAGGACGCUGGGAAGGGGUUGAUGCUGAGGAGCUGCCAGCUUCGGGUGGCUUUGUGCCACUUUUAUAAGAUUUCCAAGAAAUUAAUAAAAGCUAAAUCAAGUCUUUUGAGUUAGGACAACAGGUUUGUUCUGCUUAUGUGUAUAUGUAUAUAAAUCUAACUCUUUUCCCUUUCAGCUUCUCUUCCUGUCAGUUAAUGCUCUGAGAGAAUGGGAAGCUCUUCCUCAAGAGCAGAUCCUCAAGAGGAAGUUACACCAGGACCCGUUUCCACUACUACCACUGUCCCCAGCACUGUCCCUGCCACUGUGCACACCCCUGCAGUUGAUUUCAAAGAUGCAGAAAUGAGAUGCUGGAUCAAUAACCAUGAAAUACUGUUCAUGUCACUGGCCUUCAUCUCUGGCAUCCUCCUGACUGUCCUGAUUUUUGCAAUCAUCACUCUCUUCAGGAAAAAUUAUAAAAGGUCCCACCAAAAUUUACAAGAGGAAUCUUUCUCCCAGAUGGCAGCUGAGGAAUCUCUUAGGUGCCAGAAUGAAGUCACCUACAGCACUCUGGUCUUCCAGCAGGGCCGGGCACCACUGCCUGUGUGAAGAAAUUCCAAAUGAAAUAAAAAUGUUCCCACUCUCUGGGCA